rnacentral:rRNA from 1 species
GUCCUWCGGGGGGGGSUGCCAGUAGGGAAUCUUCCGCAAUGGACGAAAGUCUGACGGAGCAACGCCGCGUGAGUGAUGAAGGUUUUCGGAUCGUAAAGCUCUGUUGUUAGGGAAGAACAAGUGCGAGAGUAACUGCUCGCACCUUGACGGUACCUAACCAGAAAGCCACGGCUAACUACGUGCCAGCAGCCGCGGUAAUACGUAGGUGGCAAGCGUUGUCCGGAAUUAUUGGGCGUAAAGGGCUCGCAGGCGGUUUCUUAAGUCUGAUGUGAAAGCCCCCGGCUCAACCGGGGAGGGUCAUUGGAAACUGGGAAACUUGAGUGCAGAAGAGGAGAGUGGAAUUCCACGUGUAGCGGUGAAAUGCGUAGAGAUGUGGAGGAACACCAGUGGCGAAGGCGACUCUCUGGUCUGUAACUGACGCUGAGGAGCGAAAGCGUGGGGAGCGAACAGGAUUAGAUACCCCCGG